AAUAAACCCUAGAUGAUGGCGAUUGAAGAAACCGAACAACCCAGGGUUUCUCUGUGACCAUGACGGCUGCGGGUGUAGGUUCCACUGGUGAUGUCCAGACGAUUUUGAUGUUUCAGCAUGUAUGAAAGAAGAAGAAAUCAAUAGAUUUUCCAGCGGAGAAAGGAAAAGUGAUCAUCUUAUGGUUUGUGCAGAGACGGGGAACGAAAGCUUUAUUAAACACUUCUAGGAAGUGAUUAUGCCAAUGGAUAAGAAGCAGAAGUUUUUGGGAUCGGAUACUUCGGAUUAUGAAAAAGUGAUCGACUUUGAUGUAUGUUCAGAGAGUACUAGAAAUUUUAAGGUUGUCUUGUGCAAAAGUGCUGGUAAAAGAAUAUGUUUAGGGAAGACUAAAAUAGGGUUGAAUUAUGGGAAUGGAAUGAAUGUAGGAUGAUGGUCAACUCGAUAUCCGUGUCGGAUGUAAAAGACAAGUGGGAAUGGUUGGGGGAGGCAUCUGGUAAAUUCUCUCUGGGUUCGGUGAAAAGGUUUCUAAUCGCCAAUGAAGAUUAUAGUUCGAACUAGGUGAUGAAUUGGUGCAAAUGGUUACCGGCGAAGUGCAACAUAUUUAUUAGGGGGUUGCUCUUAAUCAGCUUUCAACUAGAUCAGCUCUGCAGCGGAGGAACAUUAUGGUGGAGGACGGUACCUAUGCAUUAUGAAGUAAAGAUAUUGUUUUCAUGUUUUGAUGACAAUCCAAAUUUGACUAAGAGGAAAAUCGAAGCUGGAGUUUACUGCAGGAUAAUCGAAACAAGAGCUGGAUUGUUGGAGAUAGGAGUUUGCUGGCUUCUUCAGCAACCAUGGCGAUAGGAAUGUUUUUAACAAGAAAAGGUUUGGAUGCGGCUGUACAUGAUCAACAAUGCAUGAAGGGACUGGUAUGUACACUACCAAUGGAGGUCCUUACCAGAACCGUGCAACAGUUACAGAGGGCGUGAAAGAGGCAGAGGAUCCGGGCCACCAUUCACACAUUCCAACACAAAGAAACUUCAGGAGCAGAUUGUCAACUAAAAAGUGAAGUUGCUAUCGUGGUUAAGUGGUGAAGCUCACUCUUUGCUUAAAGGGGUAAGUCACUUAGUCAUGAUUAACCUCUUACUAUGCACGUUAAUCGCUAGAACUAUUUAAACUUCAUGUGUUUAUAUACGACAAUUGUUGCAAAAGGACCCGACGCUAAGGCUUGGAAGCUGGACUCGAGGUUGUCGUCAUAUCAAAAAUCAUAAAUGGGUCAAGGAAAUAACAAGUGAAUCUUAAAGAAAAACUGGUUUCAAGAUGGGUAUACAUUUCAAAGCAGACUAGACUCACUUUAUCAACACCAGAGAUGGACAACAAAUUUCUACUCGGGUUAGGGUAUCCCCUAUUUUAAUCAAGUCAAUGUAUGCAUCAAGUUCAAAAAGAAGAACUGUUUGUUGGAAAAUAUUUUUUUUGAAAGUAAAAUAAAAAGUCAACAUUUCUUUUUUCAAUAAUAUUUUGGUUUUGUUUGAAUGGGUAGUUAAUAAGGCCACAGGCGAUGGUUGGUAUGGUUUAGGAUUUGGAGAGUGAGAUCUUACAGUGGACGUGUGAAGUUAUAUAUGCAAUUUGUUUAGUCCAGAGUAGUGAACAAUUGGGCUUAUGACAUAAAUGGUAAAAUCAAGUUAGAAGAUGCUGGAUUUGACUGGUAAAUCCAUUCAAGAGGUACAUAAAUGUUGAGCAAGCAAAAUAGAUGGGUUGGGUAACAGACUAACAGGUUAAAAUGAGUUUGCGUCAAUACAGCUAAACUUUUGGUCUGGGCUGAAGUGAGAAUUAUGAGUUUUAUACAUUUGUUUAUCCCUUCUUUUUAGAUAAGUUGAACUUUUGGCAUUUUCUUUUCAUUAGGUAUGUAUUUUUAUUAUUUUCAUAAAAAAUAACCAUAUCCUUAAUAUUUCACCUUUUGUAUUAUAUCAUUCUUUUAUCUCUAAAUAUCCUCUGUGUUUUAUAACGAGCCCCUCCUCACUAUGCUUCAAAUACUAAUUAGGUAUGUCAUGUGUCUAUUAUUUCAUUAUCUUCAAAGUUCGGUUAUAUUUAAGACUUGGGAAACCUGUAACCGUAGAUUUGAGAGGCAAAGUAUACGAGUAUGUAUUUUUUUAUUUUUGUAAGUAUUCUAAAUUUCUGUGUUCAAGGGGAUUGUAAACCUGCCAACGUAUUUACUAAUGCAAGUCGUAAAAGUAACACCCCAAAGAGCCACGAGUUGCCUGAUUUUUUUACAAUAUGAAGUAUUUAGAGAUUUAUGCACUAUAACCGUAAACUUUUCAAUUUUCAUUCUUAUAUAUAAUAAGUAUCAUAAGUUAAGAAUAAUUAUGAAUUUAUUAUUUUUGAAAUAGUUCUUUUACUGUUUGUGUUUACUUAAAGGUUAGAUGGGCUCUCGAGUGGAAACAGGCGCUGACCUAGGGUGAAUUUGAGGAUGAGGUGCAUCUAAUUUUGGGGCUGGUGCAUAUUACGCAUCUUAAGGACGAGUUGGACAGGUUGGGUUGGCUGUACUGAGGAAUGUUGGCGGAGUUCACAUUAAAACAAAUCAGGUUUUAGUUUACUAGGGGUCCAAAUAAUAAUACAAGUCAUAAUGUGUUCUACUGGAAUAAGAUUGCAGUUCCAAAAGUUAGUUGUUUUGUUCAGAUAGCGGUUAACGGCAACAUUCCAACGGCUAUGGGCCUUGUGGCGAGGGUCGUUGAGAUGAGAACUGUCCCAUGUAUGGUAUACGGGAGGAGACUGCAGAUUAUUUACUUGCAGGUUGUAUAAGUGCUACAGCGAUAUGUUGGAGCAUGCUUUUAAAAUGAACAAACCAGCAAAGGAGAACCCUAUUAUCUAUGUGUUUUUCUUAAUAACCAUUUGGAAUAUGUGUAUGUGUCAAAAUGACAAGGUUUUUAGAGGAAAAGUAUGUCCUGAUGCAACAGUUUUGUUAGAGGAAAAGUAUGUCCUGAUGCAACAGUUUUGUUAGAGGAAAAGUCUAUUCUUGAUGACCAUUUGGAAAAUGCGGACGCGUCAAAGUGCGGGUCUGUCCUUGAAUAGCUGGAGCAAUUUUGAUGUUAGUUUAUGACAUUCAUGCAGGUUUUAGCAUUAUUAUUAUUUUUUGGGUUAUGUACAUUUAUUUUUGUGUU